AUAUUCUAGCAAAGCCAAGUAAAUCUAAUUUUUAAGAAUUAUUCAAUAAAGGUACAGCUUUAUUGAAAAAGGAAACAACCUAAACCUUAGGAUAAUGAAUAUUUUUAAAUAGGUAAAAGGCCAAGUUGGCCUAAAAGCAGCCAUCUUUAAAGAUAGCGUCAAAGCUUCACCUUAAACACACCUUAAAUCUCAUUAUUUUUUCAUAAUCCAACAAUUCUACUAAGCCAUUCUAUACUUUUAUAGAAAAGUUUAUGUUAGGACUAGUAACACAGAAUAAUUUCUCUUACAUGUAAGUUUAAAUCAACCCGAAUACCUCCUUGAUAAUUACUCAAAUUUGAACCUUAAGUAGUACCUAUUAAUUACAAAAACCCUACUUAACUUAUUGUUAAUCAAACAUAUGGAUAUGAAAGAAAGAUUAAAAAAUUAAGAAGGAACUCGGCAAACACAAGUCCCGCCUGUUUACCAAAAACAUCGCCUUUUGAAAAGUAUAAAAGGUAACGCCUGCCCACUGACAGUAUGUUUAACGGCCGCGGUAUUCUGACCGUGCGAAGGUAGCGUAAUCACUUGUCUUUUAAAUGAAGACUCGUAUGAAAGGCAUCACGAGAACUUAGCUGUCUCCUUAAUUCAAUCAGUGAAACUGAUACCCCUGUAAAAAAGCAGGGAUGAUUACAUAAGACGAGAAGACCCUGUGGAGCUUAAAACAUAAGCUACUUCUAUACUCUACUAACUUAUAGUACUAAAAUACAAACCUAGCCUAAGUUUUCUGUUGGGGCGGCUGUGGAGAAAAACUUAUCCUCCAUGAAGAAAAAACUUUGAUCUACCGCUCUUAGUAUUAGCAAGCCUAACUUAAAUUGAUCCAAUUUUUGAUCAACGGACCAAGUUACCCCAGGGAUAACAGCGCAAUCCAUUUCAAGAGUCCCUAUCGACAAAUGGGUUUACGACCUCGA
rnacentral:rRNA from 1 species